GUACUACUGAAGAGUCCCAAAAUAGGUCGAGACAGCUUUCCAGUAC
rnacentral:hammerhead_ribozyme from 1 species